rnacentral:lncRNA from 1 species
UCGGGUUGGGAGAUCCCGAGCCUGAGGCGAGCGUGGGCGGCACACACCUUCCCUUCCACUUUCAUCACCCCAGGGGUCAGGGAUCCGUCAAGGGCCAACGGAUGUUUCCUCCUUCCUCUGUAGCAGUCCCAGAGUCCUGACAUUGCCUAGCCAGAGUUUCUCGCGUCUGCCAGAGCAGCCGCUCCUCUAUCCAGGGCACUCAGAUUCCCAAGGAAACCCCCCUGAGGAGUUAGCAACCACCUACUAGUAGGUUUCGGUCCCAGGAUACUAAAGGUCAGGUAAAAAUGGGGAAAUGGGGGGAGGGUGUCUCUGAAAAGUACGUUGAUAAAACACCUAUUGUUGACUGAGUGUAUAUUACAUUGGAUUAAUGGAAUACGGCCUACUUAAACCUGGCUAUGGUUCCACCAUUAGUGGCUGUUGGCAAGCUGCCUCUGAAAAAUGAGGAUAAUAAAGGUUGAUUACUGCUCAGGGUUGCUCUGAGGUUUAAAUGCUAUAAUGCAUGUGAAAUGCUUAGUAUGGUACCUGAAAGUACUCAGUGUUAGAUAUUAUUACAUGGACAAAUGAAGUAAAAAAUAUGACCCGAAAAGACUUCAGGUCAACUUUCCUGAAUUGUGCAGAAAUAGGCAUCAAUCGCUUUUACUAACCAGGUUUACAGCUCUAUAUCCUGUCUCCACUUCUUCCAUUGUACUCAAUCAACAGAUUCACUGAAACUCGAACUGAGGGGACACAGUGGUGAGGGAAACAAACUGUCUGGCUUCUUGGGGCUGACAGUCUAGUGGGAAAAAGAGGGACAAAUAUUUCAUCACAUUUUCAGGGAAGCAUGCUAUAAAGGUUAUGAACAAAAUUUUGGAAAAGCAGAUACCAGGAUAGCUUUGAAAAAACUGGUCAGGAAAGGCCCAUCCGAGGGAUAAGGAGCCAAUAAUGAAAGAAAUGCCCUGGGGAAUUAUUUAAGAUAGAGGAAAUGGCUGUGCAAAGGACCUGUGGUAGGAAAGAACUUGGCUGUUGGAAUUGAGGGGAGUCCAUGGUGCAAGGAGGAGCCUGUCCUGAGAUUGGAGAGAUUGCUUCAGAGCUGCUGUCUCCUGGGCUUGGACAACGUGUCAGCAUCCGUCUUUGUCAUCACAAUCCCGGUGUUGCCCUGGGUGCUGGGUGCCUUGCAGAGCCAGCAGGCCAGCCCCAGGCAUGCCCUCUGGGUAUUUUGGCAGAAGACUGAAGGGGAACUAGAGAGACUGUUCAGAAUUAGACAAUAAAGAUAAAAGAGGGGCAGAAUCAGGCAAAGUGUUUUCAUUGGAAUCUUCCACUUUUAUGCUGAGAAGCAGGCAAGGCAAAAACUCUGGAUUCAGUUUGCAGGUGAGGAAACAGAGACCCAGAGAAAAGACACUAAUUGCCGGAAAACAUUCAGUGAUCAUGUGACAUUUGUCCUGGUGUUGACCUAUUCACAGAAGCAGGUAACAAAAUUCUGUUCUCUAGAAAGCAACAAUUGUAAUCUCUGUCACCAGAGAAUCCCAUACAAGGCCCCCGCCCCUUGACUAAGAAGAAAUGUUUUUGUCCUGCUUUCUCAUCCUUUUUCCAGCUGAGUCUGUAAAUACCUGCUACUCAGACACUCAGAAUAUUUCAGUGGCUCCAGAUUUUAAUCUGACCUUUGCACAGCCAUUUGCCUAUACUGUCAUGCCUGUAAUUAUAUAACUGCUUUAUUUUAAUGCCUGUAAAUAGGAGCUCAGUCAUCUAAGAAAAGUUCAGGAAAAGCAGAACCAUAGAACUAAAACUCAGUAAAACCAUUUCCCAUCUUAGUUCCCUAGCAUCCAUGAGGAUUCAGGUUCGAUCCCUGGUCUUGCUCAGUGGGUUGAGUAUGUGGCCUUGCCGUGAGCUGUGGUGUAGGUCGAAGAUGCAGCUUGGUUCCCGAGUUGCUGUGGCUGUGGUGUAGGUCGGCAGCCACAGCUCCGAUUUGACCCCUAGCCUGGGAACCUCCAUAUGCUGUGAGUGUGGCCCUAAAAAAAAAUACAAAAAAAAAAAAAAAUUCUCAAGUUCUUGUUGUGACUUCGAGGGUUAAGACCUGAUGUAGUGUCUGUGGGGAUGUGAGUUUGAUCCCUGGCUUUGCCAGUGGGCUAAGAAUCCAGUGCUGUGGUGCAGGUCAGAUCUGGUGUUGCCAUGGCUGUGCAUGAUUCGACCCCCAUCCUGGAAACUUCCAUAUGCCACAGGUCCAUCCAGCUGUAAAAAGAAAAAGAAAAAAAAAAUUUCUCUACAGCUUGAUUGAGGUAAAAUUGAUGUAUGAUAAAGUGCACUAUUUAAAGUGUACAGUUUAAUGAAUUUUAAUGUGUGUAUAUGCCUAUGAAACCACUACAGUCAAGAUCAGAGAUGGCUUUUCCAUCUCAGAGUCUAAAAGGGUGUGUGCUCCCAGUUCAAAACUAACUGGUAACAAAGUGAGACCUGGAGUUCCCGUCAUGGCUCAGCAGAAAUGAACCUGACUAGCAUCCAUGAGGCCACAGGUUCAAUUCCUGGCCUCGUUCAGUGGAUUAAGUAUCCGGUGUUGCCGUGAGCUGUGGUGUAGGUUGCAGAUGUGGCUUAGAUCUGGUGUUGCUGUGGCUGUGGCAUAGGCUGGCAGCUGUAGCUUCAAUUUGACCCCUAGCCUGGGAACCUCCAUAUGGCACAGGUGUGGCCCUAAAAGACUAAAAAAAAAGAAAGUGUGCCUUCCUCUUCUGAGUAACAAUACUGGCCCCUGCAGGGCCAUCUUUAUUUCAAUCUCUGUUAUCAUUGAAGAGGCAGCUCUCCAUUUGACCUCUAUGUGGCUUUUCCUUCUUGCCCACAGUUACAACAUUCUCUUUUCAGUUUCAGGUCCCUUUUUCUGCUAAAUCAUCCACUUCUUAUCUACAAGCCCCCUUUCAAUCUUAAAAAUGAACAAAAGCAAAACAAAAAAGUCAAUACUUCUUCCUGCCUCCUCCUCAUUCCUCCCUUCAGUCACUCAUGGCUCCCUCUCCUGCCCCCUAGUUAGUUCAUGGCCACACUUCCAGAAAUAGUUGCUCAUAUUCACUCUCUCCACAUCCUCACUUCCUCCUCUCCCUCAAAGCCACCCCGCCCCCUUGCUGCACAGAUACCUUUCUUGGCCAGGUCACUCACUAACCUCCCUGUUGUUGCUACAUCCCAUGAACCCAUCUCAGUCCUUAUCAUACUCUGACACCAUUGACCACUGUGUCCUUUGGUUGGUUGUUUUUACAAAAGUAACAGAUGCGCUUUUUUUUUUUUUUUUUUAAGAGUCAAAUACUGAAUAAAAACAUUAAGACUCUCCCCCUGCCGCCCUACUGCAGACAGAGCCACUGUCACAAGAACCCUCAGCUACUAGACAGCCACCCCAGGUAGCUGCCCAAAGCAUAGCAUAGCCUCAGGAAGUCCCAGAAAUUAGUCCCUGUAGACUUCUAACUUGGGAAAAAUCUCUUACUUGCCCUAUCAUAAACACCAGAGAAGCUAAGAAAUGUUUAUAAACAAACACACAAAGAAAAAGAGAAGAAAGUGCAUAUAGUAACUCUCCAACUCUGGUUUCAAUAUGUCUUAAAGGUGACAUGGUGGCAGGGUCUGCAUGACUCAUCCCUGUCGGUCUCUCCAGGCAGGAAGCCUUUCUGGCCCUGGUUUUCCUGAUAGCAGCCCUUUGUUUUCCCCUUAUCCUUGGGAGAAUGAUAGGAAUGAAGAAUAUAGGGCCCCCGGGACCUUGUGAGGCUGACCUAGCAGCCAUCAAGGUUUAUAGUCUUGUAGACAAAUACACAAAAAUGGGUUUUUUAUGACCAGUGUUUUUUACCCAAGAUAAAGUACAAAGCAGGACAUAAGAAUCACCCACCCAAAUCUCACCAACCAGAAUAGCACCAUAACAGUUUUGGUGAGCAUAUUUAAAUGUGUCUCUAUUCUGUGUAUACACUUAGAGGUAUAUAUACAGUUUCACAUACAUGGGAUCAUGAUUUACAAGUUAUUCUGUAACUACUGUUUUCACUCGGAACAUGCAAUGGAUAGCUUUCCAGGUCAAUAACUAUAGACUAACACUGUGAUUGCUACUGCUCGCCUGCCAUUCAGAAUAUUUACGAGCCAUGAUUUACUCACCCAGCCUCUUAUUGUUGGGCAGUUAGGUGGUUCGCAUUUUUUGAUAUCAUAUACUACACAGUGAUAAACAUUCUGUGUUCAGCUUUUAGCUUUUGUACAAUUUUCUCCUCAGGCUAAUUUGUAGAAGUGGACUAGCUCCAUACAAUGGUGUGUACAUUUCACAUUUUGACACAGUUAGGCUAACUUCCUUCCAGAAAUGUUAUGCCAAUUUAUUUUCCCACCAACACUGAAUUUAAAAGCAUCUUUUCCCCGCGUGCGGCGUGUCUCGCCGCGCGUCCGGACCGGGGUCCGGUGCGGAGAGCCUUUUGACCUGGGAAACGGGGCGCGGCGGGAAAGCAAGGCCGCCCCCUCGGCCGCCCGUCACGCACCGCACAUUCGUGGGGAACCUGGUGCUAAACCGUUCGCAGACGACCUGCUUCUGGGUCGGGGUUUCCUACAUAGCAGAGCAGCUCCCUCGCUACGAUCUAUUGAAAGUCAGCUCUCGACACAAGGGUUUGU